CCGGUUGAUCCUGCCGGAGGCUACCGCUAUUGGAGUUCGAUUAAGCCAUGCGAGUCGCGAGUCUUAGGGACUCGGCGUACCGCUCAGUAACACGUGGGUAACCUGCCCUAUGCUGGGGGAUAACCUUGGGAAACUGAGAAUAAUACCCCAUAGUUCACCACGCCUGGAACGGUGGGUGGACCAAAGCUCCGGCGGCAUAGGAUGGGCCUGCGGCGUAUCAGGUUGUAGGGGGUGUAAUGUACCCUCUAGCCCUCUACGCGUACGGGUGUUGAGAGACAUCGCCCGGAGAUGGAUUCUGAGACACGAAUCCAGACCCUACGGGGUGCAGCAGGCGCGAAAACUUGGCAAUGCGAGAAAUCGUGACCAGGGAACUCCAAGUGCAUCGGGUAAGACCGAUGCUUUUCUUGACUCUUCAAAGGUCUUGGAAUAAGGGGUGGGUAAGGACGGUGCCAGCCGCCGCGGUAAUACCGGCGCCCCAAGUGGUAGUCGCUUUUAUUGGGCCUAAAACGUCCGUAGCCGGUCUGGUACAUUCGUGGGUAAAUCAACCAGCUCAACUGGUUGAAUUCUGCGAGCACGGCCAGACUUGGGACCGGGAGAGGUGUGGGGUACUCUCAGGGUAGGGGUAAAAUCCUGUCAUCCUGAGAGGACCACCUGUUGCGAAGGCGCCACACUAGAACGGAUCCGACGGUCAGGGACGAAGCCUAGGGGCACGAACCGGAUUAGAUACCCGGGUAGUCCUAGGUGUAAACGCUGUGGACUUGAUGUUGGGGGCGCUCCGAGCGCACUCAGUGUCGAAGCGAAGGUGAUAAGUCCACUGCCUGGGGAGUACGGUCGCAAGGCUGAAACUUAAAGGAAUUGGCGGGGGAGCACCGCAACCUGAGGAUUGUGCGGUUUAAUUGGAUCAACGCCGG
rnacentral:rRNA from 1 species